rnacentral:rRNA from 1 species
AUUGAACGCUGGCGGCAGGCCUAACACAUGCAAGUCGAACGGUAACAGGAAGAAGCUUGCUUCUUUGCUGACGAGUGGCGGACGGGUGAGUAAUGUCUGGGAAACUGCCUGAUGGAGGGGGAUAACUACUGGAAACGGUAGCUAAUACCGCAUAACGUCGCAAGACCAAAAAGGGGGACCUUCGGGCCUCUUGCCCUCGGAUGUGCCCAGAUGGGAUUAGCUAGUAGGUGGGGUAACGGCUCACCUAGGCGACGAUCCCUAGCUGGUCUGAGAGGAUGACCAGCCACACUGGAACUGAGACACGGUCCAGACUCCUACGGGAGGCAGCAGUGGGGAAUAUUGCACAAUGGGCGCAAGCCUGAUGCAGCCAUGCCGCGUGUAUGAAGAAGGCCUUCGGGUUGUAAAGUACUUUCAGCGGGGAGGAAGGGAGUAAAGUUAAUACCUUUGCUAAUUGACGUUACCCGCAGAAGAAGCACCGGCUAACUCCGUG